UAGUCCACGCUGUAAACGAUGAGCACUAGUUUUUGGGAGUUUAACCCUCUCAGAGACGCAGCUAACGCAUUAAGUGCUCCGCCUGGGGAGUACGGUCGCAAGACUAAAACUCAAAGGAAUUGACGGGGGCCCGCACAAGCGGUGGAUUAUGUGGUUUAACUCGAAGCAACGCGAAAAACCUUACCUAGGCUUGAAAUCCCAAGAACACUUUGUAAUUGAAGUGGUGCUCUUCGGAGAAUUUGGAGACAGGUGCUGCAUGGCUGUCGUCAGCUCGUGUUGUGAAAUGUUGGGUUAAGUCCCGCAACGAGCGCAACCCUUAUUUUUAGUUGCCAGCAUUAAGUUGGGCACUCUAGAGAGACUGCCUGGGUUAACCAGGAGGAAGGUGGGGAUGACGUCAAGUCCUCAUGGCCCUUAUGCCUAGGGCUACACACGUAAUACAAUGGGAUACACAAAGGGAAGCGACCUGGUAACAGUGAGCAAAUCUCAAAAAGUAUACUCUCAGUCCGGAUUGAAGUCUGCAA
rnacentral:rRNA from 1 species